ACAGCAAGGUGAAAAAACCUCUCCAGAACCACUCCCUUAAGCACGCCUUCCUGUGCCUUAUUCAGUUUGCAUCUCGUUUUCUGCACACUUCUUCAUUGAUUAACAUCUUCAUUAGUACAUUAGGAUUUAACUAAUACUGGCUAUGCAAAUUCAUUUAAUCAAGGUACGAGCUGUAGCUCACGUGCAACACAUUGAACCUGUGUCAGGCUCUAGGCCUGCCUUUUCCCUGUCGGCACUCCUGCAGAGCUAAAUUCAGCUGUAGGGAAGGACAGUGGGGUUUAAAGGAUUUCCUCAUUUAUUUUCUGAUGGGAUGCAGCACAUUGUCUCUCUCAGCUUCUCCUUCUUGAGGCCAGGGUCUGAAGAAACACCAGCAAGUAGCAAGAACUGCCAGACAUGCCCCCGUGGGGAAGGAAAGAGGAAGAAAUCCCACCUGGGGCUGCAGGGAGCCAGCAGGUGGCUGCAGAUGCCCACUCAGAAGUGGUCAGAAGUCUGUCUCCAGAUGCUUUCACAAACAGCUUUAUGGCACAUGAAGUUAUCCGUGGUUAUCCAUGCCCCACAGAGGCUCAGCCUGCGUAAAAGGAGGGUGAGUCGCACCACGCGCUGACAAGUCAUACCCGAAAUGUUUAUAAAGGCCUUUCCUAACCCAGCGAGCUAGGGCACCUCGAUCCGUAAAACCAGAUCUCGUUGGCUUACACCACCCUUUAACACUGCUGUUGAACUCUUCUCUCGAAGCAGACACUUGGAACUAGCAAACCAUCAACCCCCUGGCUUGGUACAGUGAGGGGGAUUUCAGGCAGGGAAGCAGCUUGGAGCAUUCUCUGCCAUCUCGCCAGCACUGGCCUGCACGUUGGACUCCCGUGCCCUGGGAUUUCACAAGAAGGCAGUGCUUUGGGGGAUUGUGUGUCAAGGGAUGAGGAAAUCACCGGGACCGGUGGAGGCAUUAGAGAAGGGAGCAGGCUGAAGCUUUCUGUAGCUGCACAAGCCAGCAAUAAACUGAGAGAAUUACACAAGCAUUGCACAAGGGAGGCCUGACUGGAAGUGUUGCCUCUGGCUCGCAUUCCUUUUAAGCUGUUAUAA